UGGGGCUCAGGGGCAGAGCACUCGCCUUGCAUGCGUGAGGCCCUGGGUUCGAUCCUCAGCA
rnacentral:tRNA from 1 species